AUACGGAGGGUGCGAGCGUUGUCCGGAAUCACUGGGCGUAAAGGGCGCGUAGGCGGCGCAGUAAGUAGGGGGUGAAAUCUCACGGCUCAACCGUGAAACGGCCUCCUAAACUGCUGUGCUUGAGCACGGUAGAGGCAGAUGGAAUUCCCGGUGUAGCGGUGGAAUGCGUAGAUAUCGGGAAGAACACCAGUGGCGAAGGCGGUCUGCUGGGCCGUUGCUGACGCUGAGGCGCGACAGCGUGGGGAGCAAACAGGAUUAGAAACCCCAGUAGUCC
rnacentral:rRNA from 1 species